CGGUAAGUUAUUUGAAAGCUGCUAACUUUUAAUAUAGUGUUAAACUACUUGAUGG
rnacentral:tRNA from 1 species